GUUUGUUUCCCCGUUGUUGGGUCACUCUGAGUUGAACCCUGUUACUCCUGUCCUGAUCCUGUGUUCUGCAUCCUCUUGUGUCCCAGCCAGUGUUAACUCCUGAGCCUGCCGAAACAGAAUGUCAAAGACAGCAUUCAAGUGCACUCUGGUCACCUCCAUGAAGAGAGAGGG